rnacentral:tRNA from 1 species
UUCAAUAUAGCUCUGUUGCUAGAGCAUCUGACUUUUAUUCUGAGCAUCCAGGGUUCAAGUCCCUGUUUGGACA